GUGAGGAAUAUUGGUCAAUGGGCGAGAGCCUGAACCAGCCAAGUCGCGUGAAGGAAGAAGGAUCUAUGGUUCGUAAACUUCUUUUGCAGGGGAAUAAAGUGCAGGACGUGUCCUGUUUUGUAUGUACCCUGAGAAUAAGGAUCGGCUAACUCCGUGCCAGCAGCCGCGGUAAUACGGGGGAUCCGAGCGUUAUCCGGAUUUAUUGGGUUUAAAGGGUGCGUAGGUGGUUUGAUAAGUCAGCGGUGAAAGUUUGCAGCUUAACUGUAAAAAUGCCGUUGAAACUGUCGGACUUGAGUGUAAAUGAGGUAGGCGGAAUGCGUGGUGUAGCGGUGAAAUGCAUAGAUAUCACGCAGAACUCCGAUUGCGAAGGCAGCUUACUAAGCUACAACUGACACUGAAGCACGAAAGCGUGGGGAUCAAACAGGAUUAGAUACCCGGGUAGUCC
rnacentral:rRNA from 1 species